AGCCAUACCGCGUGGGUGAAGAAGGCCUUCGGGUUGUAAAGCCCUUUUGUUGGGAAAGAAAAGCAUCCGGUUAAUACCCGGGUGUUCUGACGGUACCCAAAGAAUAAGCACCGGCUAACUUCGUGCCAGCAGCCGCGGUAAUACGAAGGGUGCAAGCGUUACUCGGAAUUACUGGGCGUAAAGCGUGCGUAGGUGGUGAUUUAAGUCCGUUGUGAAAGCCCUGGGCUCAACCUGGGAAUUGCAGUGGAUACUGGGUCACUAGAGUGUGGUAGAGGAUAGUGGAAUUUCCGGUGUAGCAGUGAAAUGCGUAGAGAUCGGAAGGAACAUCUGUGGCGAAGGCGACUAUCUGGGCCAACACUGACACUGAGGCACGAAAGCGUGGGGAGCAAACAGGAUUA
rnacentral:rRNA from 1 species